CUCGACUACAUGAAGCUGGAAUCGCUAGUAAUCGCGAAUCAGAAUGUCGCGGUGAAUACGUUCCCGGGUCUUGUACACACCGCCCGUCACACCAUGGGAGUCGGAUAUGCCCGAAGUCAGUGACCCAACCAUAUGGAGGGAGCUGCCGAAGGUGGAGCCGAUAACUGGGGUGAAGUCGUAACAAGGUAGC
rnacentral:rRNA from 1 species